GGCGCAACGCCUCGUACUCGCGCUUCGCGGACGACCAUCGCGUAUAGGCCGCCUCUCAUCUCCUCUCCUCGUCGCCACUCGUACGCGUCCUCCCCUCCCCGCCACCGACCGCUCACCACUUCCCAGCCACAUUUCGAGCGAAUCUCGUCGCUCGUCGUCCGUUGAGAUACGUCAUAUUAUUAUAUUAUCACGAUUCCGUCGUCCUCCUCACACGAAGAUUUCUCCGCAGUCAGAAGACUCUUGUGUAUACAUGCGACGAUCUGACACGUUCAAAUGUAAUUUUACUGUGAAAUUGUCAUAUCUCUACGAUACACCGUAUAUAUAAUAUAUAUAUAGGCUAAUCUGUAACUAUAUAACACGUAUUUAAACUUAUUUAUGUUUUAAUUGUUUUUUGGGUUUUUAUUGCAAACGACUCGUCAUAAUCGUUUACCUUUAAUAUUUAAUCAAAUUUUUGAAAAUACAAAACAAAGUGACAUUUUAGGUCCAACUAUAGUUGCCCUUCUAUUGAGACGUUUCAAUAUAAUAAUAUUCUUUCAAAUCAUAUUAUUCAUUAAUAUUAAAACAUUAAACCUAAAACCUAAAUAAUUUAAAGACGUAGGCCCCCCAUUAACCACAAAAGUACUACACUAUAACGUUAGAAGUUAGUUAUUUUUAAAUGUAUACCUAUUCAUAUUUUACACAGAUUUCGUAAUGAUCUAAUGUUAUGAGAUUUGUUCUAUAGACUUAUAUCACACACAACGAUUGUAACGUAUACUCAGUUGUUUCUUUUCGCGUGUUUUUCAUGUUAUAGAAUCAUGUAGACUAAUGCGAAUUCGCGUUUAAAUAGGAUUAAAAAUCAACUGCGUUCAAGACGGCCAUAAUUUUCAAUUACUUUGCAUGGAUAAUAUGUAUGUAUACAUUUUUUUUACUCGAAUUCGAUAUUGGCCGGUCUUGUAGUUUUCUUUUUUUAUGCAGCAUAUAUACAAUAUACAUACACUUCACCCUCUAAUGCGAAAACAAGGGUGACCAUUAGGGUCGACAAAAAUGACAAAUGUCCAUACAAAUCAUAGUCGAAUACGAGUAAUAAUUAACCGUGUCCACGAGGGUUGGUUGAGGAGUGGGGGAAAUUUAAUUCUGUAAUGGGGUCCGAUAAAUAGAUUAAAAUGCCCCUUUGGCCUUAAUAAAUAUUGUCACGUGAUCACUGUUUGUAUAAUUUUAGUAUUAAAAUUAAAUGGACCGAAAUCAAAUGAUAGCGAUUUUAAAAUUCAUUUCUAUAAUAUUACAUCUGUAGGGCUACCUAUUCACGCACUACAUUUUCCCUACGUGGUAUUACGUCAUGACGUAUGUAGUGAACUCGUUAAUACUGUAUAGAUAUGUGUGAGUGUGUGUAUUAUCAUUGUUGUUAAUUUUUUGAUAAAUUGUAAAAUAUAUUCAGUUAGUCUGUAUAUCGUUUAAUAAUAUUUCGAUAAUAUUAGGUUCCAUAUCCUCUGUUCAUAAUAACAAUACAUAUUAAUUAGCUACAACUAUUGAAUCAAAGGUUCAUAAUAUUUUAAAUUAAACUAUAACUAAAUUAAUCAAGUGUGUCAAUAUUAUAAUAGUAAUUGUUUAAGUGUAUUUUCUAUUGUAUAAAUAUUAUUUAAUCUAAAUAUUGUUACUGAAAUUAAUCGUUAUUUAGCGUUUUACUAUUUCUUAUUUUGUUUUAUGUUAAAUUGUGUUUCUUAUGUGUCAUAUAAUAUAACCAUUAGGUACAUAACAUAAUUUAUUAUUAUAUCUUCUUUUGCUAUGCAUGCAUAGAAAGUCAAGUGUCUGAAUUGUUAUUCGCUAAAUUAUUGUUAGUAUUGAUUAGAAAAACCUGCUGAUAAUAUUAUUUAGAACUAUUAAAUUAAAAUAAAUAAAAGUUUUAAUAUCUA